UUAAACUAAUUUUGGAUUUGGUACUUGUACCUGACCCCAUUGGUUGCAUGAGUUAAGUACAUUCCCAGACAUUUUUUCCUGAAAGUAUGGCUCAUGAGAGUGAAAACGUUAUACUUUAAUAUAGUUUUCUGGGUGCUGGGGAGAAGAUUUUUUACUUUCUUGAGAUAGGGUCUUACUCAAUAGUUCAUGCUACCCUUGAACUCACUAUGUAUCUGAAGGUGGCCUUGACCUUAUAAUAGUUCUAACUCAGCUUCCCCAAGUGCUGUAAUUACAGCAUGAGUCUCCAUGCUUAGCUCUUGGAGUCGAAGUUUGUAGGUGGGCCCCCUAGUAAGGGGACAGAGUUGGUUGGCAUCCUCCUGUUAUAUUGGUCUCUGGUCUCCCCUCAGUGCAGGCAGGAUGCCCAGUUUCAUCAGAGUUGUGUGGAUAUGGGAAGGUGACAAGUUGGCAAGUUUGGGUUUGCAGAUUGUGAUUGCCCCCCUUUCUUCCCUACCCUGUGCUCCUUGGGGAGCUCCUCACCUGUUUCCUCAUGAGAUGAAUUCCUUUCCAGCCAGAGCCCUGGAGAGGGAAAACAGGCUCUCCAUGUUUGUGGAGGGAUUUAAUGGAUGUUUUUUGAGAUAGUAUCUCAUACUGUUAUCCUGGGCUGUCUUAGAACUAAGUAUGUAGUUUAGGCUGGCCUUGAAAUUGCUUCAGCCUUCAUACUAAGGCUACUCAUCUCAGCUACUACAACCAUCUGUGUCCAUAUUUCAUCUAUGUUUAAUGUUUUUAGUUGUAUCAUGGGAUGUAUCAAAUUGGACUUUGGAUGGUGGUUGGCAGGUUGUUUUGUGCUAGUCUACUCAUGCAAUGAAGGUGAAUCGGCAGCUGGGUGUAGCAGUAUAUGCUUGUUAUUGUAGUACCUGACAGAAGCAGGAAGGUCAUGAGUUUGAGAUAAUGCUCAGCUUCCUAGUGAGUUAAGGCCAGCUACACAAGAGCCUGUCUCAAAACGUAUUGGCAACAGCUGCUGUUCUCAGCCUUAAGACUUUUCUUCCUUGGGUGGAUGCGCUGACUGUCUUUUAUAAAAGGUCCCUUCUUUCAGUGAAGAGUGUUUGUGCACCUUCAGCUUCUCUACAAGACUGUAUUGGGGUACAAUUGGACCCCAACAUGCCUUUCCUCCCCACAUUGCUGUCUUUUCCUGCUCAUUUAACACCUAAUUCGUUCAGGUCUGAUGCUUAUGUCAACCAUGUGCCACAGUGAGUCACCUCCAGCCUACUUAGACCAUAAUCUCUAUACCCAGUCAGCUGUACCAUGUACCUGGCCAGCUCUGGUUUCUUUACUUUCCAUGCCUAGCAAAUCCUUCUGGCAGUGCUUUCAGCUUGGGGUACUCAGCCGAUAUCUCCACGUGCUCUCACGUUGAGGUGGGAUCCAAACCCGCUGUGAGGAUGUGCUGGCCAGUGUUAUGUCCGCUUGAUACAAGCGAGAGCCAUCUGAAAAGAUGGAGCUUCAGCUGAGUAGGGUAUUUUACUAAUCAGUGAUUGAUGGGGGACAGCCCAGUCCAUGGUGAGUGGUGCCACCCCCGGGCUGGUGGUCCUGGGUCCUCUAAGAAAGCCGGCUAAGCAAGCCAUGAGCAGCCCAGUAAGCAGCAUUUCUCCACGGCCUCUGCAUCAGUUCCUGCCUUGGCUUCCCUCAGUGGUUUCGGGAUAGAAAAUGUGUGGCAGAUGCCUGGCUGCAUCUUUGAGAGUCUUGUGUGGAGAGAGCUUCCUAGCAGAUUGUCAGUGAUCUCUGUCUAUAAAACCAUCUUUGUUUUGGAACCUUUAACAUUUUUCUUUCCUAACAGUAAGCUACAGAUCUUUGUUUUUGUCAACUCUUUCCUCCCCAAGUUGCUUUGGGUCAUGGUGUUUUAUCACAGCAAUAAUAACCCUAACACAGCGGCCAUCUGACUCUUUUGUCUUCCUAUAGUCAGUCCUUGGCUCAACCUUGUAGCUGAGCGACUUCCCAGAGACUCAGGUGUGUUGGCUAUGACUGGUCCCACUCUGUCUCAGCUCUGGUGAUCGUUGUGUUCGGGAUGCUGUAGGACUCGUCCAGGUUGUAUUUCCUAGGUUGCCCUAGUCUUCUGCUCAAGUUGCUCAUAGCCUUUGCUUUCACUUGUGUCUGUAGGGCCACACCCCUUCUUUCCUGCCCUGCCUGCCAUUCUAAGCACAGGGAAUUUCAGACUCUACCAACUGUCUCCCUGCAGAACUUGUAUAAUUAACCCUUGUAGAGUAACCAUAGUAACACCCACACUAUCAAGUGGGAAUGCUAGGCUGUCCAUUAGCCUAUGGCCUGGGACUAUGUUACACUGUUACCUCCUUAAAAGCAUAGCUGUUGAUCCUUAAGCCUCAAUGCAUGUGUGAUGGUCCCAGAGUCUUAUUCUAAAUUUGUGGUCCUGAGCCAGAGAGAAAGCACAUUGCGGACCUUUCCUUCUCAGCCCCGUUCUUGCAUGAGUUGUUGCUGACCUUGGCGCUGGUUAGAAGAUUUGUGGGUUUAGGACUGGUGCUAUGGAGAGGAGGAUGGGAAUGCUCUCUCUCUCUCUCUCUCUCUCUCUCUCUGUGUGUGUGUGUGUGUGUGUGUGUGCGCGCGCGCGUGUGCGCGUGUGCGUGUGCGCGCGCGAGUGCAAACUUGUACACAUUUGUGUUUAAGGCCUCAUGGUACUUAGUCUAUCAGUGUAUCAGAGACAACAGAUCUCUGCUGUCUGUCACUGUCUUCUUUUGUUAUUGUUGUUGUUUGUCAGACAGCCCUGCAUGAGAUUGUGACACUUGGUUGUCCUUUGAUUAUUAUGUUUGUCUCACAUUUUGACAAAAAAAAAAAAUGAGUAUUUUAGCUUUUGAAUGAACUAGGGUAAUAGUUUUUCUCUGUUUUGUUUUGCUGCUAGAGAUGGGACUCAGAACUUUGGGUAUUUAGAUAAAUACCCAAAACCAGUCCAAUAGAUAAUUUGAAAGAUGAAAACAUUUGUGUUCAUGGGGAAAAAAAUCAAACUAGUGGAUACCCAGUGAGAAGUUAAGAGUCCCUAUCCAGCCAGGCGUAGUGGCACACACCUUUAAUCCGAGCACUUGGGAGGCAGAGGCAAGCGGAUUUCUGAGUUCGAGGCCAGCCUGGUCUACAGAGUGAGUUCCAAGACAGCCAGGGCUACACAGAGAACCCUGUCUCAUCUCCCACCCAACUCCUCUUAAAAAAAAAUAAAUAAAUAAUACC